rnacentral:lncRNA from 1 species
AUGCUCUUAAUAUUGGUGCUGGCCAACGACAUUGCCCGGUAGAGCGUAGCUAGAAAUAAUGUACCACCACCCAUUAUUGCACCGAACCCUAACAGGAUCGAUUUGCGCCAAACUACUUGAUGUUGAUCGAUCAUUGAUUUAUAUCUGAUCAACUUUAUUUUUUUAUAGUAGUAAAUUUCUUGAUGAGGUCUACAACAUGAAUGGUUUGGUUCAUUAAUACGAACCCUAAACGGGACUUAAAAUACUUGAACUGCGCGAUACAGUUCAGAAUUGAACCGUAAAGAAGUCCAAUCCAUAAAGAAUAUCAACAUAAUCAUGUUGACGUCCCCUUUGGCUAAAUUUGUCGAAUCGUUUUUCACAAUUUCUUCUAGAAUUAAUUGCGGUUAAAAAAGAUUUCAUUGCAUUUUCUUUGGCAUUUCAGGUCUUGAUGCCAUGUUUCACAGGUCUUUGGUAGGGUCUAAAGAAGACUGACUACCAAGAUAAACGUUGAGCUUGUUGUAUCCGACGUCGGCGUGCAUAAAAAAAAUGCUCUUUAUACCGGUAACAUUACUAAGAGGACAUGUGCAUGUCAUCUCAAAAAGAGCGACCCAAUUCGCACCUCAAUCUCUCUCACCCUCUCUGGAAAUUAAACGUUACAAACUUAUGGGCUUGCCCCACAACGUUGCAACUUGUAAUAUCGAAUUCCACGAAUUCCAAAUGUUCCCAAUUUUAGGCAACUGGAGAAUUGCCCAAUUGUUAGGAUUAACCCAGAUACGUGCAAGCUAGUCCCAACACCUGAUUAUAAAAAUAAAAAAAAAAACUAAAAAUCAACUUGUUUGGUAACUUGGUUGAAUAACCAAACAAGGAAAUAUUAAUGGAAAGACUAGUUAGAGAAUAUCAACUUGCUUGACCUUCUAUGUAUAUAAGAUUGAGGUGUGACCUGCCUAACAAACCUACUUUCCUUAAUCAAAACAGAAGACUAGUGGUUUAGGCAUGCGAUAGUAAACUAAAAAGGACUUGUUCAAGCAUAUCAACCAUGGGGUUCUAUUUUUCUAUAUAUAGAAUGUGUUAUUUUGCAAGAGCUUCUAUCUUACAAAUUGUGGAUUAUUGUAAUUAAUUUGUGUCUAUUUUUCACUCGAUCGUUACGGCUAUGUGCAUAUAGCUAGAAAGAAUAUACUACGAAAAGUUGGCUAAAAUUGAAUCUAAUUUAUUCGAACCUAUAAGUUAGGAAAAAAAUACUACUUUUCGUAUUCCACUUUUCUUUAAAAUACACUCCCUCUUCCGGUUACCAAUAGCUAAACACCCUUAUAACUAAUACCCUUCUAACAUAGUUUAAAAUGGCCCUUUUCUUGUCCCCCAGUUCUCCUCUCUCCCUUGCUCUCCGGCUCUCAAACGAAUUCAAGAUUUUUUUUCCAAGAAGGGAACCGAACCUGGCCAUAUAGAUAUCACUAGUCAUUAUAUUGUUGCGGUGUCAAUUUUGUAAAGUUUUUUUUAUAUAUAUAAAGUCCUAUUUGUAGCACCUGUAAUUUUUAUGAUGACAAAAUGAAAAACGAAAUUGAAUGUUAAAAUUGUUAGAUUUAAUAGUAGAGAGACGAAAUUGAGAAUCGAGUACAACUAGAGAGUCUAGAGAGUCGAUUUUUUUAAUUUUCCCUUACCAAACACAAACAAACAAACUUGAACUGGACUUAUGCACAUGAACAGUACAAAUUACGUUACUCAUACCCUUGAUAAAACCCCUUACAAGCACACAUUUUCCUCAUAGCGUUAAUACCCCUACUCACUAGCACACACAAUAAAAAGGUCACCAAAAUUGUAUGGGCGCUGCCCAACGAAAUUGCCAGGGGGAUCAUAGUUGCAAGUAAUGAACCAAAACCCACUAUUGCACAGAACCUGAGCGCACCCGAGCCGGACCGAGGUUUUCCACACAAUUUGAGUGUAGUGCCCACAAACCUUACCGGAGGCACAUGAAUUGGAGUUGUAGUCAUAGUAUGGCUUUUCUCCAGUCCAUAGGCCCACGGCCAUGGCCCCAGUGAAGUCGCCACUGCCUGCGGCGAUGUUCUCGCCGUACGUCCCGCCACCGUCGGAGUGGAUCAUAGCACAAUCGCCAGCCCUAUGGUUAGUGUAGUUUUGGGCGAAGGCAGCCACGUCGGGGUCCCAG